CCAUCAGUAGUUCACUGAUGAGGAAAUAAUAUCCAUUUAGAUAAAGCUGACAACAAUACUGCCAUGAUAGGAGACUUAAAGAAAUCAAAGUCAUUAAGGUCCCUGAGAAUGGCUAAAACA
rnacentral:snoRNA from 1 species